rnacentral:rRNA from 1 species
CAUAUGUUGAAGCAAUUGGAAUGAGGUCGAAGUAAACAUCCGGCCGAGUAACAAGGAGAGGGCAAGUCUGGUGCCAGCAGCCGCGGUAAUUCCAGCUCUUCGAGUGUAUAUAUACAUUGUUGCAGUUAAAAAGUUCGUAGUCGAAAGUACGAGGUUUGAUCAAGGCGCAAGUUUUGGUCAAGAAAUGUGUGUGUGGAAACCGAGAUGGUUGACAGGCAACGCGGCCUCUAAGAGAUUGGGUUCGCCCGUCUCAUCUGACAUUGAGUAAAUCUGCGCGUUCAAAGCAGCCAAUAGGCAUUGAAAGUUAAAGCAUUGGAUCUAGAAAAAAGACGGAGUGUGUUCUUUUUGGUUGGGUUUGUCUGGACAUAUUUUGUAAUGAUGAAGAGGAUCGGGCGAGGGAAACGGUAUGAUGCGGGGAGUGGUGAAAUAUGUUGAUCCGCGUUAGACCAACCGAUGCGAAAGCGGUUUUCCAGCACGACUCCAUUGAUCAAGAACGAAGGUGCGGGGAGCGAAGAUGAUCAGAUACCGUCGUAGUCCGCACAGUAAACCAUGUCGACGAAAGAUUGGAAGACGUUCGAAUUUGUAUGUCUCUUUCAGAAUUUUAAGAGAAAUCUAGAGUGAUUAGAUUCUGGGGGUAGUACGGUCGCAAGGCUGAAACUUGAAGGAAUUGACGGAAGGGCACCAAAAGGCGUGGAGACUGCGGCUCAAUUUGACUCAACGCGGGAGAACUUACCAGGACCGGCGAAAAGCAGGAUUGUCAGUUUAAAGAGCUUACAUGAUUUUUUCAAUGGUGGUGCAUGGCCGUUUUUAGUUCGUGCUACGAAGUGUCUGGUUGAUUCCGUUAACGAGCGAGAUCUCCAUCAGUUUAUUUGGCUCCGCGACACUUUGAUGUUGAAGCGGUGGCGUGUGCUGCAGCGUGCUGUGGGGCAAUGAUCCGUGGACGCAAAAGAGGUCGGUGCGAGUGCAUUGAACGAGACAACCGGCGCAAGUCGGAGGAAGUCGAGGCAAUAACAGGUCAGUAUGCCCUUAGAUGUCCUGGGCUGCACGCGGUCUACAAUGAAAAUAACAACGCGCACCCUUAUCCGACAGGAUAUUAGGGGAAUCUAGAGAUAUUUUCGUGCUAGGAAUUGAAGUUUGAAACGAAUUUCAUGAACUUGGAAUGCCUUGUAAAAGUGUCUCAUCAAGAUGCUUUGAAUACUUCCCUGCCCUUUGUACACACCGCCCGUCGCUUCUACUGACGAUUCUAGACGUGAGUUGUCGGGAGGGAUGAGAUGUAGGAGUGGAU